CCUACGGGAGGCAGCAGUGAGGAAUAUUGGUCAAUGGGCGAGAGCCUGAACCAGCCAAGUCGCGUGAGGGAGUACUGCCCUAUGGGUUGUAAACCUCUUUUGUCGGGGAGCAAAAGCCGGACGUGUCCGGCUGUGAGAGUACCCGAAGAAAAAGCAUCGGCUAACUCCGUGCCAGCAGCCGCGGUAAUACGGAGGAUGCGAGCGUUAUCCGGAUUUAUUGGGUUUAAAGGGGGCGCAGGCGGAUUUUUAAGUCAGCGGUAAAAUCGUGGGGCUCAACCCCAUCCAGCCGUUGAAACUGGGGAUCUAGAGUGUGCGAGAGGUAUGCGGAAUGCGUGGUGUAGCGGUGAAAUGCAUAGAUAUCACGCAGAACCCCGAUUGCGAAGGCAGCAUACCGGUGCACAACUGACGCUCAGGCACGAAAGCGUGGGUAUCGAACAGGAUUAGAUACCCCGGUAGUC
rnacentral:rRNA from 1 species